rnacentral:lncRNA from 1 species
GUGCAGAUGCUCCAGAGCUCGUACAAUAGACACAGCCAUUUUCCCUAAGAUGUCCUCCGGGAUGGUUUUCUUCUUCUCCAGUACUUUCUUGUAGAACUUAUCCAGGGAAGUGUCCAUGAGCUCCAUGCAGAUCCAAACAUCGCCCUCUCGGAAUAGGGCUCCAUAGAAAGUGACCGUGUAGAAGCAGUCAACCGUCCUCAUGGAGAUAUCCAGGUCCAUCAACAGCCUCUUCUGCUCCUGAGUGUUCACCGUGGCACGAAUCCUCUUCACGGCCAUGAUGGUGCCACUCUGAGCAUGCCUCACUUUCUC